AGUGAACGCUGGCGGUAGGCCUAACACAUGCAAGUCGAACGGCAGCACAGUAAGAGCUUGCUCUUACGGGUGGCGAGUGGCGGACGGGUGAGGAGUACAUCGGAAUCUACUUUUUCGUGGGGGAUAACGAAGGGAAACUUACUCUAAUACCGCAUACGACCUACGGGUGAAAGCAUGGGAUCUUCGGACCUUGCGCGAUUGAAUGAGCCGAUGUCGGAUUAGCUAGUUGGCGGGGUAAAGGCCCACCAAGGCGACGAUCCGUAGCUGGUCUGAGAGGAUGAUCAGCCACACUGGAACUGAGACACGGACCAGACUCCUACGGGAGGCAGCAGUGGGGAAUAUUGGACAAUGGGCGCGAGCCUUAUCCAGCCAUACCGCGUGGGAGAAGAAGGCCUUCCGGUUGUAAAGCCCUUUUGUUGGGAGAAAAAAGCUGCAGGUUAUGACCCCGCUGUUCUGACGGUACCCAAAGAAUAAGCACCGGCUAACUUCGUG
rnacentral:rRNA from 1 species